rnacentral:rRNA from 1 species
UACGUAGGGUGCAAGCGUUGCCCGGAUUUAUUGGGCGUAAAGGGCGCGUAGGCGGCGCAACAAGUCACUUGUGAAAUCUCCGGGCUUAACCCGGAGCGGUCAAGUGAUACUGUCGUGCUAGAGUUCGGAAGAGGCGAGUGGAAUUCCCGGUGUAGCGGUGAAAUGCGCAGAUAUCGGGAGGAACACCAAUGGCGAAGGCAGCUCGCUGGGACGUAACGUGACGCUGAGGAGCGAAAGCGUGGGGAGCAAACGGGG